AGUAAAUAAAAUGCUUUAUAUCUACAUGGCAUGCUACAUUUCAAAUACAUAAAGAUACCAUUGUUGUUAAUUUUAAAAAUCCACAAACUUAUCUAAAAACCUUAUAAGAAUCCAGAUAUCUUUUGCCAUUACAUAUACCAUUAGAUAAUAAAAGCACAACUUCUACCAUAUAAAGUCUGUUCCUUUUAAAAACAAAUAUACAUACAUUCAAAGGGGUUUGCAUCCACUUUUGGUAUAUAUCACAUGUGUGUAACAAUAGACUUACUUAGGCAGUCCUCUAGCUUGAGGGCUGGCACUAUGUCCCAGGUACAGUUGAGUCUCAAUUUAAAAUGUAUGAGCUUUUUGUUGAUGUUUAUUGCUUCAUUUAUUCUCCACAACAGCCCUCAAGGGUUGACAAGAGAGCUAUUGAAUUUCUCAAAAUUGACAGGGGAGAAGUACAUUGUGAAAUAUAUAGGGAAGAGACAGAAAUAAAACAAGAAAAGAAAUACACAGUGUAAUUUCAGAAAAAAAGAGAAAAUAACACACUGAACAGUCCUAUCAAAUGCAUAAUUGGAAUACCAAAAAGAGAGGAAAGAGGAAAUAAGACUGAAGAAAGUUUGAGCAGGACAAAGGGACGAUGGUGACGGUGAGGUGAGUGGAUAUCUUAGCUGGGAUGGUGACAGGGGCUGAGAACAGAAUGGCCAGAAGAAGUCAGCCAGGAGAAGUUAUGAGUGAAAAGGAUUUCAGAGAGAAAACACAACUGUAAGUGCCCAGAAGAAUAAGACUCACCAAUCAAGCCUUUUGCUUCCCCAACAUUUCCCAGUCUCUUUAAUCAACAAAGCACAAAGCUGAUUAUUAAGUGGAUCCACGUGACUACCUUUAGUGGGUCCAUAUGACUACCUUUAGCCAAUGGGCUCUGGCCAGAUGUGAUUUGUAUCCUUUCUUGGCUACAGCAUCAAAAAGCUAGCACCGGAAUGUCAAACUGUUUCUUUCUUCAGGUGACAGAGCCAGAAGGUCAAAGUAGAUUGAGUCACUGAGUUGCAACAUGAUGACAGUUGCCAUCAUGAAACAUGCAGACUCUCAGUAAACUUUAAGAGAGAAAUAAACCCUUGUGCUAUUAAGUCAUCAUAAGCUGAUCCUGACUAAUAUCACAUAGUAAGAAGUUUGGAUUUUAUUCUAAAUAUAAUAGGAAGCCAUUUGAAAUUUUGAGCAAGAGAGUGAUGAGAUCAUAUACAUGUUUAAGUGACCACUUUGCUGUGUGUAUAGUAGAUUAUGGGGAGGGGAAACAGGAGAGAGCAGAGGGCCAGUUGUAAGCCUCUUGAAGUUAACCUAGGUAUGAAAUAAUAGUAGCUUGAAAUUAGUGGUCACAGUAAAGGUGGUGAAUUGAAUUCAGGAUAUAUUUUGAAGAUAAAAUGAAAAUGGAUGGAAAUAUUCCAAGGUUUAGUGCAUGGGCACCUGAGUGAAAAGACAACAGAAUAGAAGGUAAGGUGGGUGGGGUGGUACUCAAGAGUUAUAAAGCUGUUUGGCUUGAAGAUCUCUUCCAAAGAAGAGGAAAGAAGAGGAAAGAAGAGAGAGAGAAUACUUCCUAACUCCUUUUAAAAGUCAGCAUAACCCUGAUAUCAAACCUGACAAUGAUAUUGCAAAAUACAUAGAUGUAAAAUUCCUUAAAAAAAAAAAAUUGUAAACUAAGUUCAGAAAUAGGCAAAGAGGAAAAUGCAACAUAAUAAACUUGGAUUUGCUCCAGGAUGCAAGGUUGUUCCAAUAUUCAUAUAUCUAUUAAUAUAAUUCAUUAACAAAAUAAGGGAGAAAAAUAACCUCAAUAAAUGCAGAAAAUCAUCUAAUGCAAUUCAAUUUUCAUCCAUGAUUUAAAAAUUAGGAAUAGAACUUAUUUAAUCUGAGAGGGGUAUUAUAAAAACCUAAUAACACACAUCAUACUUAAUGGUGAAAUACUGAAAACAUUUUCCCUAAGUCAAGUAUGAAAGAAGGAUGUCUUCAUUAUCCCUCUUCAUUAUCCCUUCUAUCCAUCCCUGUCCUGGAAGUCCUACCCAGCACAAUAAGCAUCAAAAGAUAAAGAAGGAGAGAGAGGAGGGGUGGGGAAGAUAUAGAUUAGGAAAGAAGAAAUAAAACCAUCAUUAUUUACAGAUAAUAUAUUUGAAUCUAUGGAAAAUCCUGAAGACUCUAUGGAUUAAUGAUUAGAAUCGAUAAGUGAAUUUAUCAAAAUCAUUGGAUGGAAUUUGAAGAUACAAAGAUCAACUAUAUUUCUAUAUGCUAGCAAUAAAAAAAUCAGAAAGUAAAAAAAUGUUAAAUGGUAGCAUUUACAAUAAUAUCACAUUCAACAAAUACCUAGAAAUAAAUCUAACAAAAGUUGUACAAGGAUAUCUCCAUGGAAAGCUACAGAACACUAUUGAAAGAAAAUAAAGAGGAUCAAAAUAAAUAAAGCGCUAUACUAUGUUCAUGGUUUGAAAGUUAAUAUCAUAGAGCUAUCAAUUAUUUGUCAAUAUGAUUCACAGGGUGAAUGUAAUUCUGAUAAAAAAAAAAAACCAGCAGAGUUUACAUUUUUGUGGAGAUUAACAAACUGAUCCUAAAGUUUUUAUGGAAUACAAAGGGAAGAGCCAAGAAUAACAAAGAUUUGAAGAACAAAGUUUGAAGGCCACCAGAUACCAAAACUUAUUAUAAAGUUGCAAUAAUUACAACCAAGUCGUAUUGCCAAUGGUGGACGAACAGGCUGAUGGAACAGAAGAUCCGGAAACAGACCAUACAGAUAUAUGAAGAUUUGGUUUAUGACAAGGGAGACACUGGAUACUAGUGAGGAUAGGAUAAUUACUUCAGUAAAUAGUGCUCAGUCUAUUGGAUAUCUACUAGAAAAUAAAGAAUUUAAUCCUUACUUCAUACUAUACACAAAAAUCAAAUCCAGAUUGUCUGUAGAUCUAACUGUGAAAUGUAAAACAAUAGAAUAUCUAGAAGGUAAAAUAGAAGGAUAUCUUCAGAGGAGGAAAAGAUUUCUUAAAUAUAACACAGAAAGGACUAAUGACAGAGAAAAAGAUUGAUAAAUUACUACACUAAAAUUAAGAACAUAUGUCCAGGGGCACCUGGGUGGCUCAGUCAAUAAGUGUCUGACUGGAGAUUUCAGCUCAGGUCAUGAUCUCACGGGUUGUAGGAUGGAGCCCCGAGUUGGGAUCCAUGCUCAGUGGAAAAUCUGCUCGAAAUUCUCUCUGUCUGCCCCUCUUCCCACUCAUGCUCACUCUCUUUCUCUCAAAUAAAUAAAACAAACUUAAAAAAAAAAAACAACGAACAUAUGUUCAUCAAAAGACACAAUUUAAAGAAAAAAAAGAAAACUCACGAAGUGGGAGAGAAUAUAUUUGAAUAUAUAUAAGCAAUGAAGGACUUUUAACUUGAAUAUUUAAGGUUUUUUUUUGUUUUUUUUGUUUUUUUUUUUUUUUUUUUGGUUUUUUUUUUUUUUAGAAGCAGGCUCCCUGCAGGGAGUCUGAUGUGGGACUCAAUCCCAGGACCCCAGGAUCACGCCCUGAGCUGAAGGCAGACGCUUAACCACUGAGCCACCCAGGUGCCCCUUAAAGAAUUUUUUUAAGUUGAUAGGCAAAAGCAUACAAACAAAUAGUGAAAUGGGCAAGAACAAUUAUAGACAACUUCACAAUAUCUAUGAAAACAUGAAAAGGUACUCAACUUAUUACUCUUCAGGCAAAUGAAAACUAAAACCACAGUGGUAUGCUGCUACAUACACCCAGAUGGCUAAACUAUUUUUUUAAAUGACAAUGUCAGCAAUUGGGAGGAUGAGAAGCAUCUAGAACUCUCACAUACUGCUGGCAGAAUGAAUUAAUACAAUCACUUAGAGAACCGUUUGAUGGUAUUUACUGUAGUCGAACAUACACGUACCCAAUACUUGAGUAAUUUCAGUCCUACAUAUACCCCAGAAAUGUACACUUGUGUGUACCAAGAAA
rnacentral:lncRNA from 1 species